rnacentral:rRNA from 1 species
UACGAAGGGGGCUAGCGUUGCUCGGAAUCACUGGGCGUAAAGGGCGUGUAGGCGGGAAUGUAAGUCGGGCGUGAAAUCCCUAGGCUCAACCUAGGAACUGCACUCGAAACUGCGUUUCUUGAGUGCCGGAGAGGAAAGCGGAAUUCCUGGUGUAGAGGUGAAGUUCGUAGAUAUCAGGAGGAACACCAGUGGCGAAGGCGGCUUUCUGGACGGUAACUGACGCUGAGACGCGAAAGCGUGGGGAGCAAACAGG